UUAUUUGUUCGAGCAUAUUCCUUUAACACGGGACAGUCGGCUUCCUGUAGUAUUUUUCCAAAAAGAAAGUAGGCGUGGCCCAUUUUAAGCCUCCAAGAAAAUAAACAAAUAAAUAAUUGUUUUCAUUUUCCUUUGUUCUUGAUCCCUUCCCAAACUAAUCUAAAAAUGAGUUUUGUUUUAUACGAAAAGAUCGAUGCAUGCAGCGGUUUUUUUCCCCUUAAAAUCUGGCAUCUCUAUAAAGAAAAACUGCCUAUGUACAGACUGUGUAAGCGAAGAGAAAAAAAGAACUUAAAAAGAAAGAGAUUGCCAUUUUUAGUCCAUUAUACAUGUAUUUUAGAAAACACUUUCACCACCUGAAUCCACGGAAGAGAGUCUGAGGUGUGACCCUUUUAUUCUCAAAAAGAGAGCAGCAGAGGCCGGGCGCGGUGGCUCACGCCUGUAAUCCCAGCACUUUGGGAGGCCAAGGCGGGCGGAUCACAAGGUCAGGAGAUCGAGACCAUCCUGGCUAACACGGUGAAACCCCAUCUCUACUAAAAAUACAAAAAACUAGCCAGGCGUGGUGGCGGGCGCCUGUAGUCCCAGCUACUCGGGAGGCUGAGGCAGGAGAAUGGCGUGAACUGGGGAGGCGGAGCUUGCAGUGAGCCGAGAUCCCGCCACUGCACUCCAGCCUGGGUGACAGAGCGAGACUCCGUCUCAAAAAAAAAAAAAAAAAAGAAAGAAAAGAAGAGAAAAAGAAAAAGAGGGCAACAGAGACUUCUGCUAAACCUACCAAUGACCACUAGAAGAGUCUGAAAGGCUGGGAGAGACUGAAUCUCUCUGAGACCGAGCAGGGUCUCCUUAAUUUCAAAACUUAUACAGGCACUUUACAUGAUUGCAAAGGGGCCAUGUAUUAUUUGCCCAGGAAAUGCUCUUAUGCUUUACAGGGUUUGCUACAGGAGGGGCGAGUAAUGACUUAGCAGAACUUCUUCGUGAAUUACUGGAAGCCAGCAUGUUCCUCCUGCUCUGGCUUGUGCAGGAAUAAACCACACACCACUUAACAGGGUUGGUGGUUUUUCUUGUCCUUUCCUGUUUGGAGAAGGACGUUGACAGUAGAGAAAGCCAAGGCACUGACUCAUGAACAGUAGAGACUGUCAGCAGAGCAGAGAACGAUACCCACCUUCUAAACUUCUCAUCUCCAUACUUCUGAUGAAACAACCAAACAAGAGCCAAAAUUACUCUUAAAAAUUCUGAGAAAUUAUAGUGUGAUGAAGGUUAACAUGACCACUGAUGUCAUGUGGAUAUCACAUAGCGCCUCCCCACAAUAUGACGCGACAAUGAAGGCACUUCACCUAUGUGAUACUCUUCCAAAAACGUAGACUCCAGUCUAAUCAUAAGAAAAAUGACAGACCAGCCCACAUGGGGAGGUGUUCUACAGUAUUCCUGGGCGGUACUUCUCAAUACUGUUAAGGUAAUGAACAAUAAGGAAGACAGAUAAACUGUCGCAGAGCAGAGGAGCCUGGGGAGCCAUGCAAACUAAAUGCAAUGUGGUACCCUGGCCUGAAUCCUGGAGCACAAAAUAGAUGCUAAUGGAAACACUGAUGAAAUCCAAUACAGCCCAGUGUUUGGCUAAUAGUAAACACCAGCAUCCGCUUCUUAGUUGUGACAAAUGUACCAUCGUAUUUUACAAUGGUAAAAUAUAUCUAGGUUCCAUGGGGGAAACUAGAUGAAGGAUAUGCAGGAACUCUGUGUACUAUCUUUGCAACUUUUCUGUCAAUCUAAAAUUAGGCUGAAAUUUAAAAACAUGAUUUUAAAAGCUGAGAAAUAAUUCUGAGAAAGAAUGUUUGUACCUUAUUGCAACUUAAAUGUCUAAAAUGAAAAUUUGAUGCUCACAAGAAUGAUGUCUGAAUAAAUGAAAUAAAGUUAUCUAAGCAGAUGAUGUUCUAAAUUAUUGCCUCUGUGUUCUGAAUUCCAUUGUGUUCUUGCCCCUAGCCCCAAUAAUUCCAAACACUUCAUUCUGAAAAUCCACACAGGAGCUAGCUCAAG
rnacentral:lncRNA from 1 species